rnacentral:rRNA from 1 species
AGUGAACGCUGGCGGUAGGCCUAACACAUGCAAGUCGAACGGCAGCACAGUAAGAGCUUGCUCUUACGGGUGGCGAGUGGCGGACGGGUGAGGAAUACAUCGGAAUCUACUUUUUCGUGGGGGAUAACGUAGGGAAACUUACGCUAAUACCGCAUACGACCUACGGGUGAAAGCAGGGGAUCUUCGGACCUUGCGCGAUUGAAUGAGCCGAUGUCGGAUUAGCUAGUUGGCGGGGUAAAGGCCCACCAAGGCGACGAUCCGUAGCUGGUCUGAGAGGGUGAUCAGCCACACUGGAACUGAGACACGGUCCAGACUCCUACGGGAGGCAGCAAUGGGGAAUAUUGGACAAUGGGCGCAAGCCUGAUCCAGCCAUACCGCGUGGGUGAAGAAGGCCUUCGGGUUGUAAAGCCCUUUUGUUGGGAAAGAAAAGCAGCAGGUUAAUACCCCGCUGUUCUGACGGUACCCAAAGAAUAAGCACCGGCUAACUUCGUG